ACAAGCGGUGGAGCAUGUGGUUAAUUCGACGCAACGCGAAGAACCUUACCAGGGCUUGACAUCCCCUGACCGCGUAUGAAAGUACGUUUUCACCCUCGGGUGACAGGGAGACAGGUGGUGCAUGGUUGUCGUCAGCUCGUGUCGUGAGAUGUUGGGUUAAGUCCCGCAACGAGCGCAACCCCUACGUUUAGUUGCUAACGCGUGAAGGCGAGCACUCUAGACGAACUGCCGUUGACAAAACGGAGGAAGGUGGGAUGACGUCAAAUCAUCAUGCCCCUUAUGUUCUGGGCUACACACGUGCUACAAUGGCCGGUACAGACGGACGCAAAGCCGCGAGGUGGAGCAAAUCCUAAAAAGCCGGUCUCAGUUCGGAUUGCAGGCUGCAAUUCGCCUGCAUGAAGUCGGAAUCGCUAGUAAUCGCAGGUCAGCAUACUGCGGUGAAUACGUUCCCGGGCCUU
rnacentral:rRNA from 1 species